CGGAGGCAGCAGUGGGGAAUAUUGCACAAUGGGCGAAAGCCUGAUGCAGCGACGCCGCGUGAGGGAUGAAGGCCUUCGGGUUGUAAACCUCUUUCAGUACCGAAGAAGCGCAAGUGACGGUAGGUACAGAAGAAGCACCGGCUAACUACGUGCCAGCAGCCGCGGUAAUACGUAGGGUGCGAGCGUUGUCCGGAAUUAUUGGGCGUAAAGAGCUUGUAGGCGGUUUGUCGCGUCUGCUGUGAAAUUUCGGGGCUUAACCCCGAACUUGCAGUGGGUACGGGCAGACUAGAGUGUGGUAGGGGAGACUGGAAUUCCUGGUGUAGCGGUGAAAUGCGCAGAUAUCAGGAGGAACACCGAUGGCGAAGGCAGGUCUCUGGGCCAUAACUGACGCUGAGAAGCGAAAGCAUGGGGAGCGAACAGGAUUAGAUACCCCGGU
rnacentral:rRNA from 1 species